rnacentral:rRNA from 1 species
UUCGGGGAGCUCGGAGACAGGUGCUGCAUGGCUGUCGUCAGCUCGUGUCGUGAGAUGUUGGGUUAAGUCCCGCAACGAGCGCAACCCUUGUCUUUAAUUGCCAUCAUUGAGUUGGGCACUUUAAAGAGACUGCCGGUGUUAAACCGGAGGAAGUGGGGAUGACGUCAAGUCAGCAUGGCCUUUAUAUCCAGGGCUGCACACGUCCUACAAUGACCGGUACAAAGGGAAGCAAGACCGCGAGGUGGAGCAAAUCCCAAAAAGCCGGCCUCAGUGCGGAUUGCAGUCUGCAACUCGACUGCAUGAAGUUGGAAUCGCUAGUAAUCGCAGAUCAGCACGCUGCGGUGAAUAAGUUCUCGGGUUUU